rnacentral:rRNA from 1 species
AUUGAACGCUGGCGGCAGGCCUAACACAUGCAAGUCGAGCGGUAGAGAGAAGCUUGCUUCUCCUGAGAGCGGCGGACGGGUGAGUAAUGCCUAGGAAUCUGCCUGGUAGUGGGGGAUAACGUUCGGAAACGGACGCUAAUACCGCAUACGUCCUACGGGAGAAAGCAGGGGACCUUCGGGCCUUGCGCUAUCAGAUGAGCCUAGGUCGGAUUAGCUAGUUGGUGGGGUAAUGGCUCACCAAGGCGACGAUCCGUAACUGGUCUGAGAGGAUGAUCAGUCACACUGGAACUGAGACACGGUCCAGACUCCUACGGGAGGCAGCAGUGGGGAAUAUUGGACAAUGGGCGAAAGCCUGAUCCAGCCAUGCCGCGUGUGUGAAGAAGGUCUUCGGAUUGUAAAGCACUUUAAGUUGGGAGGAAGGGCAGUAAAUUAAUACUUUGCUGUUUUGACGUUACCGACAGAAUAAGCACCAGCUAACUCUGUG